ensembl:lncRNA
GUGGGGAGCGAGGUGCCAGAAGAACCAGCAACAGUGCUGGUGAGAGUGCGUGCAGAACGAGCAAGGAUGUGUCUGACCAACAGGCAGAGAUGGGCUGUGGAGAGGGGUGAUGUACGGGGAACUGCGUGCCAACAGUGUCAGCAGCAGCAGCUUUAAUUAACCUGGGGAGUGAGUGAGAAGGAGACUGUAGCAGGAGCUUCUGUUGAACAACAUAAAGCUGGUGGGAGGAGGAGAAAGCCGCUGCUGCUAGCUGGGUCCUCGCGCUCAUUUGGGAAGUUGAACCUUUUGGUAAUGAAAACUUCUUUCUGAUGAAACAGCCAUUAUUUUUGGCAGUAACACAGCAAUGGCUCUGAUCUGAGGAGCUCCAGCCAGCUCAUCUGCCGUAGGUGGAACUGAUGCCGAGGCUUAGCUCCGUGCUUGGAUUUGUCAGUGCUUGCUCACGUUUGCUCCAGUCCCCGUGCAAACCCCCUGCGAGGUGCUCAGCUUGGUGUGCUCCAGGAAACCACCGCCUCUACUGCCAUGGACAGAGAUGAACGGGGCAAUGCCCAUCUCAGCUGUCACUUUACCAGUCAGGUGGCUUUGCACUGUGCCAGGCAGGAUCAGAUGAGCUGUGCCAGCAGUGACAGCAGCAGGUUGGAAAUGGGGCUCUCGGUACUCGCAGGUCUCCGGG